UGUUGCACCUUCUGCUGCUGGCUUGUAUUGCAAUACAUUGUCUUUCAGCAUAUUUUUAGUAGUGAUCUUCAGAACACUGUUUUCUAUUUUGGAGGUGGAGAGCUAAAACUGAAAAUACUGGAUUUCCACAAAGAAAGUGGCAGAUUUCCUCAUUUCCAGCUUCUUGUGUCUUUGGAUGAAACUCUGAUCAUCCCUACAGCAACCUGCAGGGAACUUGGAGGGAGGAGCACAGGCUGCAGAAGCAUAUAAGGUAAAGAAGUUCAACAACCCAAAGACUCUCUGCCCCCACCAUACAACUGGAAAGAAAAACACUGAGGAGAGAAGGCCUAGAAUCGAGACUGAUGUCCCGCAUCAAUGGACAUUGUCCAUGGAGGCCAUCUUCACCACCUGAGAGCAGGAGGAAAUACUACUGAGUUUCUCAGAGCAGGAGGGACACUGAUCAGCAUGAUGAAAAUACUAGGAAGGAGUGAAGAAGUAUGUGGAAAUUAUGGCUUCACAUUUGCUAAAGGUGAUUUAUUGUAUGUUUUGUGAAAUCAUAACCAAAAAUGUUAACUUCUAAUUUACUAGUUUUAUUAAAUCUAAAUGGUCAUAUCUCAUUUCCUCCUUUGGCUAUUAUGACUGUGCAACAGUGAGAUAACAAUUGUUACAAAAAGUUAUGGCAGAGCAGGGAGGGAUACUCCUACAUUGGAUUAAGCUAAUGGUACUCUCUAAAUUGUCACUAUAUAGAUUUAAUUGCUCCCUUGCUUAAAUUUUUACCUGCAUCCACAAGACAAGGACUUUGAUCAUUGGCCAAUAGGUAAACUGUGUUUUUUAGAUGGUAUAAUUCUAUUUUUCUGCAAGAUAAAAAUUGAGGGAUUCUAGUUAUUGCAUCUGCAUCCAUCUGUCUAAGCUUAUGGGCCAUGUAUAACUUGGAACCGUAACUAAAAUAGAGAGAGAAAGAUUGUCCCCUCCUCCUCUACAUGUGGAAGGGGAAAAACCCAGUGGAUGCCUUGUGAUAUGGGACAGUGCUGCCUAUUCAGCACUACUCCGGGUUCUUCUGACCUUACUGAAGGUUCUGCAGGGAUCUGGAUCCAGGUGUGAGGAGGGAAUGGGCAAUUGGGGGAGGGAGUGCAUCUGAAGAAAUGGCUAUUCUCCAUGGCAUUGUAUCACACAAGCCUGUGGGAAUUCUACAUCGAAAUUAAUGCUAGAGUUCAGUUAGGUGUUGUCUCCCUAUAUGCUGUGGAAUAAAUCCAUGUGUGGGUUUCAGGGACAACUUACCGGAGGGGAAGUCUUAAGAGCAUGGCUUCAUUGGAGCUAUGCAGCUAAGGGGCUGGUGGAGGGCUAUAAGGGUCUGGAAGGCCACAAAGAUGCUCAGGGCCUCUGUAGGAUGCCUCUUGCAGAUCAUCUCAAGAUACAUGUGGAUCUCAGGCAAUCAACAGCUAGGAGAUGCAGCCUCUGCCCCUUCCAGAUGGUGUCAAACAUUAUGGAGUUUCUUGUCCCGUACAGCUUAUUCUCAUCGAGGGGAUGAUUUGGCCAUAGUUAUUUUUCAAAGUUAUGUAAUACUUUGAAAAGUUUGUUUGUAUACAGUAUACACACAUAUGCCAAGAUCUGAACCCAUUUGCUUACAGCUAAAUAAAUGAGUUGGUUAAAAACCCAUAGAUAACCAGUAAGAUUUGUAGUCCUCUUCUGCCACCAUAGGUACUGGAGUUCAAGCACAGCCUGAGGGGAAAUGUACCUAGGCAUCCAUUAGGUCUAUGUAAUGAUUCUGUAUUUUUAUAAGCACUCCGAUACAGAUUCUAUAAAUAGCAUGUAAUUUUAAGCAUAGUAGUGACUAUGUAGUGGAAUUUUACAGAGCUUUAGUUGAAGGAAAGUAGGUGGGAAUGGAG